rnacentral:rRNA from 1 species
GGCGUGCCUAAUACAUGCAAGUCGAGCGGACAGAUGAGGAGCUUGCUCCUCUGAUGUUAGCGGCGGACGGGUGAGUAACACGUGGGCAACCUACCUGUAAGACGGGGAUAACUCCGGGAAACCGGAGCUAAUACCGGAUAAUAAAGAGAAACGCCUGUUUCUUUUUUGAAAGUCGGUUUCGGCUGACACUUACAGAUGGGCCCGCGGCGCAUUAGCUAGUUGGUGAGGUAACGGCUCACCAAGGCGACGAUGCGUAGCCGACCUGAGAGGGUGAUCGGCCACACUGGGACUGAGACACGGCCCAGACUCCUACGGGAGGCAGCAGUAGGGAAUCUUCGGCAAUGGACGAAAGUCUGACCGAGCAACGCCGCGUGAGCGAUGAAGGCCUUCGGGUCGUAAAGCUCUGUUGUCAGGGAAGAACAAGUACCGGAGUAACUGCCGGUACCUUGACGGUACCUGACCAGAAAGCCACGGCUAACUACGUGCCAGCAGCCGCGGUAAUACGUAGGUGGCAAGCGUUGUCCGGAAUUAUUGGGCGUAAAGCGCGCGCAGGCGGUUCUUUAAGUCUGAUGUGAAAGCCCACGGCUCAACCGUGGAGGGUCAUUGGAAACUGGGGAACUUGAGUGCAGGAGAGAAAAGUGGAAUUCCACGUGUAGCGGUGAAAUGCGUAGAGAUGUGGAGGAACACCAGUGGCGAAGGCGGCUUUUUGGCCUGUAACUGACGCUGAGGCGCGAAAGCGUGGGGAGCAAACAGGAUUAGAUACCCUGGUAGUCCACGCCGUAAACGAUGAGUGCUAGGUGUUGGGGGGUUCCACCCUCAGUGCUGACGUUAACACAUUAAGCACUCCGCCUGGGGAGUACGGCCGCAAGGCUGAAACUCAAAGGAAUUGACGGGGGCCCGCACAAGCAGUGGAGCAUGUGGUUUAAUUCGAAGCAACGCGAAGAACCUUACCAGGUCUUGACAUCCUCUGACCACUUGAGAGAUCAAGCUUUCCCCUUCGGGGGACAGAGUGACAGGUGGUGCUGGUUGUCGUCAGCUCGUGUCGUGAGAUGUUGGGUUAAGUCCCGCAACGAGCGCAACCCUUGACCUUAGUUGCCAGCAUUCAGUUGGGCACUCUAAGGUGACUGCCGGUGACAAACCGGAGGAGGUGGGGAUGACGUCAAAUCAUCAUGCCCCUUAUGACCUGGGCUACACACGUGCUACAAUGGGUGGUACAAAGGGUUGCGAAGCCGCGAGGCCGAGCCAAUCCCAAAAAGC